rnacentral:rRNA from 1 species
UACAGAGGGUGCGAGCGUUAAUCGGAAUUACUGGGCGUAAAGCGCGCGUAGACGGUUUUGUAAGUCAGAUGUGAAAUCCCUGGGCUCAACCUGGGAACUGCAUUUGAGACUGCAUGGCUAGAGUAUCGAAGAGGAGAGUGGAAUUCCACGUGUAGCGGUGAAAUGCGUAGAUAUGUGGAGGAACACCAGUGGCGAAGGCGACUCUCUGGUCUGUAACUGACGCUGAGGCGCGAAAGCGUGGGGAGCAAACAGG